GAUGAACGCUGGCGGCGUGCCUAAUACAUGCAAGUCGAGCGAACAGACGAGGAGCUUGCUCCUCUGACGUUAGCGGCGGACGGGUGAGUAACACGUGGAUAACCUACUUAUAAGACUGGGAUAACUUCGGGAAACCGGAGCUAAUCCCGGAUAAUAUAUUGCACCGCAUGGUUCAAUAGUGAAAGACGGUUUUGCUGUCACUUAUAGAUGGAUCCGCGCCGCAUUAGCUAGUUGGUAAGGUAACGGCUUACCAAGGCAACGAUGCGUAGCCGACCUGAGAGGGUGAUCGGCCACACUGGAACUGAGACACGGUCCAGACUCCUACGGGAGGCAGCAGUAGGGAAUCUUCCGCAAUGGGCGAAAGCCUGACGGAGCAACGCCGCGUGAGUGAUGAAGGUCUUCGGAUCGUAAAACUCUGUUAUUAGGGAAGAACAAAUGUGUAAGUAACUAUGCACGUCUUGACGGUACCUAAUCAGAAAGCCACGGCUAACUACGUG
rnacentral:rRNA from 1 species